rnacentral:snRNA from 2 species
AGUCCCCCUGGCAAGGACGAACGUAGAUCUUAUCAGUUUAAUAUCUGAUAUGUGGGCCAUGUGCCUACAAUGAUAUUAAAUUUAUUUUUUAGGGGGUGGGUCCACAACAGUAGCUUGCUAUUGGGGCUCACAUGUGUCGCCUGGACGUUGCACUACUGCCCUGGCCUGGCACACCCCAA